rnacentral:misc_RNA from 1 species
AACAGGCUAAUAAUGAUUGAGUACGAAUAGUUCCGACCAAUGGUUUUCAAACAAACGAUGAACAAGUACACUAAUAAGUGUCUGAGAAAACGGACGAAACGUCGCCGUUGGAAAUAACAAAAGUUGUUCGCUCUGUAUGACUUCUCGGUGGUGAUCGAGUGUUAGUGGCACCUGUUGCACCGCUGACGAGACCGAAUUUUUUCGAUUCAUCGUACAGUUCCUAAAACAAUUGCAUUUCAAAUAAAAAAAAAAAAAAAAACAUAUAACAGUAAAAACUUUUUCCCGCCGUUUUACUGCCCAUGGGCUAUUCGUCGCUUCGUACAGUGCGCCCAGUUGCAUCUCACAACAGUAAUUCUUACCAAGUCCGAAAGGAGGAAUUUUUAAGUCUUGGAUGUCUGGUUUCGAAAAAUGAAUUAUGACCCUUACGAGCAGCCCGUGUGAGCUAGACAACAUGAGCUUGUUUCAAGAUCUCAAGUUGAAAAGGAGAAAGGUCGAU